AUAUGUAGGAAAUUAAAUAUUCCGGUGAUCCUUGGCACUGGAAGAAUUCACAGAGUGCAUUACGACAGGUCGUGGGUUCCCUGGUGCCAGAGAUUGCUCCCGGAAAUCAAUAUCAUCACAAUU
rnacentral:pre_miRNA from 11 species